AUUUAUGUAGUUUACAAAAACAUUACAUUUUCACUGUAAAGACAAAGAAGUAGCUUUCAUAAAUA
rnacentral:tRNA from 1 species